rnacentral:rRNA from 1 species
UUAAACUAGGGAUUAGAUACCCUAUUAUUAAAAUUUAAAUUUAAAAUACUAAAAAAGUAUAUAAUUAUUUAUUGAAACUUAAAUAAUUUGGCGGUAUUUUAGUUCAUUUAGAGGAAUCUGUUUAUUAAUUGAUAGUCCACGAAUAAAUUUACUUAAUUUUUUAUUUUGUAUAUCGUUGUUAUAAAAAUAUUUUUUAAUAAUAAUAAUAUUUAAAAAUUUUGAUUAAAAAUUAAAUCAGAUCAAGAUGCAGAUUAUAAUUAAGAAUAUAAUGGAUUACAAUAAAUUUAUUUAAAUGAAUAUUAAUUUGUAAAAUUUAAUUGAAGGUGGAUUUAAAUGUAA